UGCCCAUGGACUCUCUGACGGCCUAGUGA
rnacentral:sRNA from 1 species